rnacentral:tRNA from 1 species
GGCUGCUUGGCCCAAUGGUAAGGCGUCUGACUACGAUCGAGUGAGUUCAUGGCAUCCGUUCAGUUAUCAGGAGAUUCUGGGUUCGAGCCCCAGGGUGGUCA